GAUGAACGCUGGCGGCGUGCUUAACACAUGCAAGUCGAACGAUGAUCUCCAGCUUGCUGGGGGGAUUAGUGGCGAACGGGUGAGUAACACGUGAGUAACCUGCCCUUAACUCUGGGAUAAGCCUGGGAAACUGGGUCUAAUACCGGAUAUGACUCCUCAUCGCAUGGGUGGGGGGUGAAAGUCUUUUUGUGGUUUUGGAUGGACUCGCGGCCUAUCAGCUUGUUGGUGAGGUAAUGGCUCACCAAGGCGACGACGGGUAGCCGGCCUGAGAGGGUGACCGGCCACACUGGGACUGAAACACGGGCCAGACUCCUACGGGAGGCAGCAGGUGGGGAAUCUUGCACAAUGGAGGCAACUCUGAUGCAGCGACGCCGCGUGAGCGAUGAA
rnacentral:rRNA from 1 species